rnacentral:sRNA from 1 species
CAAGCAUCCUCCUUACUGAAUUUAGAUUUUGUUCUGAUUUUGUGGCCUGCGUUUCUUCUUACUGCCCUGCUCUGCGGCCCUGCUCUUCCUGGGUUUGGGUAUCCUCAUGGAUGGCCUUGGGGAAGGCCUCCGGCCGGACGAUCUGGUGACGUAAUCCCAUCUGACGCUCAGCCUUGGAUUUUGAAAAGGCACGACUGUCCUGUCUGAUGGACAGGAUGCAGAAGUCUUUGGGAAUGGGCUUUUUGCCAGAAUAAAUAAAAGAAGACAAUUGGCAAAAGAUGGACUGUACCCCACGACCCCAGGCUGCUGUGUGGAGAGCCUUGUCCUCUCCUCUGCCCACGGUCACCAGUGAGCACCAGGGACGGGGUUUCCUGCUGCACCUGGGCCUCUUCCUGCUGCCAGGAGCUGCCUUGCUGCCUCCACUUGUGACAGUCCACCCCCACACCCCCGCCACCCCCCAGUGAGAGGAUUUCCAGGGCCCACCCAGCUCCCAUCCCUGUUCUCUCUGCUGCUUUCGAGGUCACCCUGGGCUGGAAGGGGUGCCUGGGAUGCUGCUCAGAUGUCUUGGCCGCCCUCCCACCCCCUACACCCCACUCCUGGUUUUCAGGAUGAAAUUGUCCUCAAAUAAAGCAAGCUUUUGAGUCAA